AUUUCCCCAGGAAUUAUUAGCGUGAGUUUCCCACCAGAAAGCAGCAGGAAUGGGUGGUUGAAGAAGAGAUAUCUGCUGUUUUCUAUACUCAGGGGGAGUGACUUCUACAAUGAGAGAAUAUAUUUUACCAUAUAUGAAACCCAGGUCCACAAACCCAGGACAACCCAAGAAGAGACCUUGACAAGACGAUUCCGAGAGGCAGAAAUACAAGAUGCGAAGGAACCUAGGCAGCUCCGGAGGAGAAAGGCCAACUGGAAAAGCAAACGGGCCUUGCCGGCAGGCAGGGAAUUUUCCGAAGGGGGCGCGCUGAAGGCUGCAGCCGGCCCGGGAGCGGCCCAGCCCGCGCAGACGCAGAAAGAAGCCGCCCUCUCCACGGACAAGGCUCCGCGCAGUUUUUUCAAGCACGAAGGGCGGGGCAGGAGGGCGGCUGGUCGGCUGCACGGCGCAACACUGCCACCUGCAGACCAGAGAAACCCCACGCCACCCACCCCAGCGAAAACUCCAUCUUUUCCGCGGCCGUUCCGCGCAACGACCUGGAGCUCGUGGCUCAGGAAGGCCGGCGGGAGGGAGAUGAGGACCACGGAAAGGAAGAGAAGCGGCCAGAGCGGCCCCGGCAACCGGGCUGGGGCACCGCCGCCUUCCCGGCCCCGGAGCCGUAGCCACAGCGGCAGGAAGUCCCUGUGCCCAGGAAGGACGCGCCCCGGGGGCGGGGCUGCGCCCCGACAGGCGGGCUCUGGGCCGGCGCGCGGGCGUCCCGUAAGGUCGCUGCCAGUCUCCCUGCCGGUGGCCGCUGGCGCUUACCCUCCGGAUCCUCUUGCGAACUGUGGACCGGGGAUGUCCAGGUCCUGUCGCCCGACUGCCCCAGCUGCCGCCGCCGCCAGCGCCACCGCCACCGCCCCACCUGCGGCAGCUGGACCAAUCCCCUGUCAUCCUCCUCCCGGCCCCGCCCCCCACCCCCCAUCAGGCUGCGAACACUCACUGGUGCCCGUCCCCUGGCACGCUCACUGUCCUCCUCUCAGCCUUCACUCCUCUGAUCCCUCCUGGCGACCUCGGGGCCCACGAGGCUGACCCGGUCCACCGGAGCCUCUCCCUCCUCAAGAAUGUUCUCCUCCUCCCCACCCGAGCAUCCCCCAGCGCACGGUCAUGCCCCGGGCAUCAGGAAAGACCACGCCCCUCCUCGAUGCCCAUUUCUAACAUUCUGCUCUCUCAUCACCUCAAGGCCAUGC
rnacentral:lncRNA from 1 species